rnacentral:rRNA from 1 species
CACGUAGGGUGCGAGCGUUAAUCGGAAUUACUGGGCGUAAAGCGUGCGCAGGCGGUUUUGUAAGCCAGAUGUGAAAUCCCCGGGCUUAACCUGGGAAUGGCAUUUGGGACUGCAAGGCUUGAGUGCGGCAGAGGAGACUGGAAUUCCUGGUGUAGCAGUGAAAUGCGUAGAUAUCAGGAGGAACACCGAUGGCGAAGGCAGGUCUCUGGGCUGACACUGACGCUCAUGCACGAA